AGAGUUUGAUCAUGGCUCAGAACGAACGCUGGCGGCAUGCUUCAUACAUGCAAGUCGAACGUGAAAGACCUUCGGGUCAAGUAAAGUGGCGCACGGGUGAGUAACGCGUAGAUAAUCUGCCCCGCUGUCUGGGAUAACCUUCCGAAAGGGAGGCUAAUACCGGAUAACACGAUUUCUUUUGAGGGAGUCGUUGAAAGUUGCGGCGCAACGGGAUGAGUCUGCGUCCCAUUAGCUAGUUGGUGGGGUAAAGGCCUACCAAGGCGACGAUGGGUAGCGGGUUUGAGAGGACGAUCCGCCACACUGGAACUGAGACACGGUCCAGACUCCUACGGGAGGCAGCAGUAGGGAAUCUUGCGCAAUGGGCGAAAGCCUGACGCAGCAAUGCCGCGUGAGUGAAGAAGGCCCUCGGGUCGUAAAGCUCUUUAUCUUCGGGAAGAUGAUGACGGUACCGAAGGAAGAAGCACCGGCUAACUACGUGCCAGCAGCCGCGGUAAUACGUAGGGUGCAAGCGUUGUUCGGAAUCACUGGGCGUAAAGGGCGUGUAGGCGGAACGAUUAGCGAGGGGUGAAAUCCCGGGGCUCAACCCCGGAACUGCUCUUCGAACUGUCGAUCUAGAGAAGGUCAGGGGCCGGCGGAAUUCCUGGUGUAGAGGUGAAAUUCGUAGAGAUCAGGAGGAACAUCGGAGGCGAAGGCGGCCGGCUGGGGCCAUUCUGACGCUGAGGCGCGAAAGCGUGGGGAGCAAACAGGAUUAGAUACCCUGGUAGUCCACGCCGUAAACGAUGGGUACUAGGUGUCCGGGAUGUUCGACCAUUCUGGGUACCGCAGCUAACGCAGUAAGUACCCCGCCUGGGAAGUACGGUCGCAAGACUAAAACUCAAAGGAAUUGACG
rnacentral:rRNA from 1 species